rnacentral:rRNA from 1 species
GAUGAACGCUGGCGGCGUGCCUAAUACAUGCAAGUCGAGCGAACAGACGAGGGUCUUGCUCCUCUUACGUUAGCGGCGGACGGGUGAGUAACACGUGUAUAACCUACCUAUAAGACUGGGAUAACUUCGUGAAACCGUAGCUAAUACCGGAUAAUAUAUUGAAGCGCAUGGUUCAAUAGUGAAAGACGGUUUUGCUUUCACUUAUAGAUUGAUCCGCGCCGCAUUAGCUAGUUGGUAAGGUAACGGCUUACCAAGGCAACGAUGAGUAGCCGACCUGAGAGGGUGAUCGGCCACACUGGAACUGAGACACGGUCCAGACUCCUACGGGAGGCAGCAGUAGGGAAUCUUCCGCAAUGGGGGAAAGCCUGACGGAGCAACGCCGCGUGAGUGAUGAAGGUCUUCGGAUCGUAAAGCUCUGUUAUUAGGGAAGAAAAAAUGUGUAAGUAACUAUGCACGUGUUGACGGUACCUAAUCAGAAAGCAACGGCUAACUACGUG